rnacentral:rRNA from 1 species
AUUGAACGCUGGCGGCAGGCCUAACACAUGCAAGUCGAGCGGUAGAGAGGAGCUUGCUCCUCUUGAGAGCGGCGGACGGGUGAGUAAUGCCUAGGAAUCUGCCUGGUAGUGGGGGAUAACGUUCGGAAACGGACGCUAAUACCGCAUACGACCUACGGAAGAAAGCGGGGGACCUUCGGACCUUGCGCUAUCGGAUGAGCCUAUGUCGGAUUAGCUAGUUGGUGAGGUAACGGCUCACCAAGGCGACGAUCCGUAACUGGUCUGAGAGGAUGAUCAGUCACACUGGAACUGAGACACGGUCCAGACUCCUACGGGAGGCAGCAGUGGGGAAUAUUGGACAAUGGGCGAAAGCCUGAUCCAGCCAUGCCGCGUGUGUGAAGAAGGUCUUCGGAUUGUAAAGCUCUUUAGGUUGGGAGGAACGGCAGAAAAUUAAUACUUUGCUGUUUUGACGUUACCGACAGAAUAAGCACCGGCUAACUCUGUGCCAGCAGCCGCGGUAAUACAGAGGGUGCAAGCGUUAAUCGGAAUUACUGGGCGUAAAGCGCGCGUAGGUGGUUUGUUAAGUUGGAUGUGAAAUCCCCGGGCUCAACCUGGGAACUGCAUUCAGACUGACUGACUAGAGUAUGGUAGAGGGUGGUGGAAUCUCCUGUGUAGCGGUGACAUGCGUAGAUAUAGGAAGGAACACCAGUGGCGAAGGCGACCACACGGCCUAAUACUGACACUGACGUGCGAACGCGUGAGGAGCAAACACGAUCAGAUACCGUGGUAGUGCACGCCCUAACCGAUGUCAACUAGCCGUAGGAAGCCUUUAGCAAUUAGUGGCGCAGCUCACGCAUUAAGUUGACCGCCUGGGGAGUACGGCCGCAAGGCUAGAACUCAAAUGAAUUGACGGGGGCCCGCACAACCCGUGGAGCAUGUGGUGUAAUUUGAAGCAACGCGACGAGCCUUACCAGGCCUUGCCAUCCCAUGAACUGUCUAGAGAUAGAAUGGUGCAUUCGGGAGCAGUGAGACAGGUCACGCAUGGCGCUCGUCAGCUCGCGUCGUGAGACGUGGGAUUAAGUCCCGUAACGAGCGCAACCCUCGUCCUUAGUCACCAGCACGUAAGGGAGGGCACUCUAAGGAGACUGCCGGUGACAAACCGGAGGAAGGUGGGGAUGACGUCAAGUCAUCAUGGCCCUUACGGCCUGGGCUACACACGUCAUACAAUGGUCCGUACAGAGGGCCGCCAAGCCGCGAGGUGGAGCUAAUCCCACAAAAGCGGAUCGUAGUCCGGAUCGCAGUCUGCAACUCGACUGCGUGAAGUCGGAAUCGCUAGUAAUCGCGAAUCAGCAUGUCGCGGUGAAUACGUUCCCGGGCCU